AUUGAACGCUGGCGGCAUGCCUAAUACAUGCAAGUCGAGCGGACGAAGGGAGCUUGUUCUUGGCUUCAGCGGCGGACGGGCGAGUAAUGCCUAGGUAUCUGCCUGGCAGUGGGGGAUAACGUACGGAAACGGGCGCUAAUAUAGCAUACGUCCUGAGGGAGAAAGUGGGGGUUCUUUGGAGCUCACGGUAUUUGCUGAGCCUAGGUCGGAUUAGCUAGUUGGUGAGGUAAAGGCCUACCAAGGCGACGAUCCGUAACUGGUCUGAGAGGAUGAUCAGUCACACUGGAACUGAGACACGGUCCAGACUCCUACGGGAGGCAGCAGUAGGGAAUAUUCGGCAAUGGGCGAAAGCCUGAUGGAGCAAUGCCGCGUGAGUGAAGAAGGUCUUCGGAUUGUAAAGCUCUGUAAUUUGGGAAGAAGAACAGUAAAAUAAAACAUGGAUGUUUUGACGGUACCAACAGAAUAAGCACCGGCUAACUUCGUG
rnacentral:rRNA from 1 species